rnacentral:rRNA from 1 species
AGCGAAAGCGUGGGGAGCGAACAGGAUUAGAUACCCUGGUAGUCCACGCCGUAAACGAUGAGUGCUAAGUGUUAGGGGGUUUCCGCCCCUUAGUGCUGCAGCUAACGCAUUAAGCACUCCGCCUGGGGAGUACGGUCGCAAGACUGAAACUCAAAGGAAUUGACGGGGGCCCGCACAAGCGGUGGAGCAUGUGGUUUAAUUCGAAGCAACGCGAAGAACCUUACCAGGUCUUGACAUCCUCUGACAAUCCUAGAGAUAGGACNUCCCCUUCGGGGGCAGAGUGACAGGUGGUGCAUGGUUGUCGUCAGCUCGUGUCGUGAGAUGUUGGGUUAAGUCCCGCAACGAGCGCAACCCUUGAUCUUAGUUGCCAGCAUUCAGUUGGGCACUCUAAGGUGACUGCCGGUGACAAACCGGAGGAAGGUGGGGAUGACGUCAAAUCAUCAUGCCCCUUAUGACCUGGGCUACACACGUGCUACAAUGGACAGAACAAAGGGCAGCGAAACCGCGAGGUUAAGCCAAUCCCACAAAUCUGUUCUCAGUUCGGAUCGCAGUCUGCAACUCGACUGCGUGAAGCUGGAAUCGCUAGUAAUCGCGGAUCAGC